rnacentral:rRNA from 1 species
AUUGAACGCUGGCGGCAGGCCUAACACAUGCAAGUCGAGCGGAUGAAGGGAGCUUGCUCCUGGAUUCAGCGGCGGACGGGUGAGUAAUGCCUAGGAAUCUGCCUGGUAGUGGGGGAUAACGUCCGGAAACGGGCGCUAAUACCGCAUACGUCCCGAGGGAGAAAGUGGGGGAUCUUCGGACCUCACGCUAUCAGAUGAGCCUAGGUCGGAUUAGCUAGUUGGUGGGGUAAAGGCCUACCAAGGCGACGAUCCGUAACUGGUCUGAGAGGAUGAUCAGUCACACUGGAACUGAGACACGGUCCAGACUCCUACGGGAGGCAGCAGUGGGGAAUAUUGGACAAUGGGCGAAAGCCUGAUCCAGCCAUGCCGCGUGUGUGAAGAAGGUCUUCGGAUUGUAAAGCACUUCAAGUUGGGAGGAAGGGCAGUAAGUUAAUACCUUGCUGUUUUGACGUUACCAACAGAAUAAGCACCGGCUAACUUCGUG